rnacentral:lncRNA from 1 species
GGAGAAGAAUCACCUUCAAUUGGUAACGCAUGGUCGACGUAGAGCAAGAAUCAGCCUCAAUCAAGGAUCCACCGUCGGCGAAAAGCGAGAGUCAACCUUCAAUCGGAAAUGCGUUGUUGAUGAAAAUUGAUCGUUGACGAUGAUUGGGGUGGAGCGAUGCGUCGCCGCUUGAAGUGGAACGCAGAACGACGAUGCUCGAGUCGAAAGAUGAAGAACGGAAGCGAACCAAAUCCGAAAAGGUAUCGUCGAGUUUUUUGCUUUUCUCUUAUGCUUCUGUUACUUCUUUUCUUUUCCAACUCUAUCUCUCUUCUUCUCCUUUGAUUACUGGUUGAUUCAUGAAUCGUCGGUGAAGGAUUACCGAGUGUCUCCGUUUCUGGUAUUGUUGUUGUUGUGUUCUUUAGGUUUUUUUUGAAAAAAAAUCUCUGUUGUUCUUGAUGUGUUGUGUUCUGGUUUAAGGUUUUGAGAGAAAUUGUUGUGUUAUUCUUGAUUAGGUUUUUUUGAGAAAAAAUAUUGUUACCGUAUUGUUGAUGUUCUUGCUGUGUUUGUUGUUCUUGCUCGUGUUUGCUGGUUUAAGGUUUUUGUUUUUCUUGAGAAAAAAAAUUGCUUUGUUGUGUUGUUGCUGUUAGGUUUUUUUUGAGAAGAUCUCUUACUGUGUUCUGUCUCUCCCUGUUAACCUCUCCUCCUUCGUUUUUGAAGAUCAGAUACAGUCUUUAAGAAACUCCUUGCUUUUUGAAUUUCCCAUCCCAGAUUAUGUGGGAUUUGGUUUAUUCUGUUUUAAGCUAAUGCCAAAAGUGCUUUUUGGAUGUUUAUGUUAACCUUAUGGAUAAAGCUUCAAACUGAGUAAUUUGUUUAGUUAUUUUUCAGGUUUUUAAGCGCUUUUGAAAAGUGCUUUUUGAAUAAGCUAUUUUUUGAUUUUGAAUUGGUUUUUGCAGGUGAAGUGAUGUUGAUGCUGAUUGAUUGAAAAAGGGGCACUAUUAUUCAACAGGUUUUUUUGGAAAAGUUCUGAAGAGUUGCUUUUGAAUUGGGAACUUCCAAAAGAGCUUUUGGAAGAGUCUGUGAAAUUUGCUUCAAACUGCUGUGUCUUAUUCCAAUUUUUUAAUAAAAUUAUUUCUGAUGUAACAGAGACCUUUUGGAUUAUGAACUUAGGGAUUGGUUGUAACAUGUACAAACUUUAAUUUGGAAUUUCUCUUUUUGGCCAGUUAUGCAAUUGUUUUGGAUUAUUAGGAAUUUUUUUGAAUUAAAUUUUAAUUAUGUAAUUAUCUUUUAAGCUC